rnacentral:lncRNA from 1 species
AAUCUAUAUAAGAAUGUCCUAGCAACCCCGUGCCCCCCAAAUUUCGAAUACCCCCAUUCUGUCUCUAACGCAGACCUGAAGAAAAAAUCCUAACCGCCCUAAUACUUUCUCGACUCACUGGUCGGCUGCGCAACUCCAAUCGAUCCUAAACUUACACCCUAUAACCAACAAGCCUCCCUAAACUCAAAACCCUUGGAAAUUUUCCUAAAUAGCUCUUGGAAUUCAUCAAAUCGUGAAUCCAGAUAUGACCUAGUUUCGGAGUUCAGGGUCUUUUGAAGCUUUUGCUUGUCGUGGCUCGAAGGUGGACCUAGUAGAGCAUUCCUGACUAGAGUGGUCAUUAGGGUCGGCUUCAAGCUUCGUCGAAGCGUCUCAAGCUUGGUCAUCUAUGCUAUUACUCGCCGAUUUUUGGUCAGUCUCUCACCUUUUUAAAAAAUAUUAUUUUAUUUCUAUUUUCAUCUCCUGAUUCAUUCUUUUUCUUUCUUUCUUUUCUUAUUCAAUCAAUUUCUGUUUGCAUGUUUAGGUUAGAGCAUUUAACAAGCGUGCCGUUUUUAUUUUUAUUUAAAUUAGUUAGUUGUUAAAAUCCCCAGACCCCACCUGGUGGGAGUAUACUGGGUAGUUGUUGUUGUAGUUAGUUGUUAAAACAUCCUAGCAUAUUCUAGUUCAAGGCCCAUUACAACUUUCUUUGAUUAAUGCAAUUCCAUUUGUUAAUUGAAAUCAAUCAGUCUCAAGGUUUUCGACUUAGUCUUUGACGCCUAGGUCUUUCUUUUUAGGUUGUUGGUUCGUUCCUGUUUGGGCAGGACAAGCCCAUGGGUUUGGUUUGGGUCUAGGGUCAAUUUGACACAUGAGUGAUUCAUUCUGAAAAUUAAUUACAGUGAUGUUGGGGGGUAUUUUGGGUAACUUAGGUUUAGGGAAAUUUCAGUUAGGAGGAAGCUUCUAGAGAUGAAAAGGUGGCUCGCAUGCUAAGAAAUGAAGGGCUCGGAUAUUUUAAGGGGUCAAGAUGUUAAAAUGACCAAGUAAAACAAGUAAUUGAGACAAGAAGAGAUCUGGAGAAUGAUGCCCUAAGGUUGGCCUAUAAAAAGAUCCUUUAAUCAUUAUAUAGGGCAAGAAAAUAUAGCAUAGAAGAAACACACAAACGGCUGAAGCAUCUCCUCUAAAAAACGGACUGGAGCUUCACUUUCUGCACAAAAACUCUGAAAACAAAUCAGAAAUCCAGACCUUAGAUAAAAGUUUUUCGAAAAGUUCUUUCAUGGAUUGAAGUCUUAUUCUUAUUUUUACAAAAAUAUUUAGAAGAAUUCGGUUGAAUUUCCUGGGCUUUGAUUAAGAUUGAAGCAUGGUUUAAGUAGAGAAAUUGUGUUAUUGCUGUUGGAUUUUCUGCUUGUUUCUUCACUUAUACUGACUUUAGGGUUGUUUUCCUUCUAUUGUUGUAUUCAGAUACUCCUCUUGAGCUUUUGAAAUGCAAAGCUGAAGAACAACAUGCUUGAUUUGCAGUUGAAAUUUCAGAAUGUAUUUUGUUCAAUAUGUGCUUCAUUUUCUUCUUUUGCCUGAAGUUUUGUUACUAUAUGUUAAGUUUGCUUAAGAGCCAUGUUACUUUUUAGUUCAAUCAUUUUGUUAAGAUUUAAAGUAGCUGCUUCAUACAAAUCAGAAUAGUGAUGUACCCAGGACUGUAAUAAUCUAGGACUUUAUUCAAGUUUGUAGGUUAUGUUCAUAUGAUUGUUUGUUAGGCGUGAUUUUAGUUCAUGAACAAACUUCAAAAUGAUUCCCUGUUAACCUAUAGCUACUGCAUGCCUACUCAAACUUCUGAACAUGUAACAUUGUAGUUGAGGAACAUUUUACAUUGGCAUAUGUAUCUCAUUAAUACUGAUGGGUAAAAUUAUGAAUAAAGGUCGUGUGAAUGUAUUGCUUUCCCAGAAUUUUACAUAUCAUGUUGUGUGUAGAUCAAUGGUUAGUUGGGUCUCAUUAGGGUCCAAUGUUUUGAAGUGUCCUGGGCUGUAGGUGACUAAAAGAGAUUUGAGUCUCAAUUGGGCCUAGAAUUGGUCCAUCAGAGACGGCCCAAUCGGAGCUCCAUAUUUGGACCCUGCUGUCAAUUUAAUUUCUUAAAUUAAUUUUGUUGGUGGGUUUCAUUAAUCAUGCUGUUAAUUUGUGUUACGAGUUGGAGUUAGGAAAUUUUUAGAGCUGGGCUCAAUGCCGGCCCAAUCCAGAUGGCUGAGUCGAUUGGGUUGUUCUCUUCAUCUGCCGGUCCUCUUGGAUUUAAUUUCAGCCCAAGUCCCCAAUACGGACUCUUAGAUUUCUUGAUAACCAUUUAGCAAUUUGUCUCUUGCAAGUAUUAUUGUCCCUUAGGCCUAAUUAAGUGCCAUUUUUUAAAUUGGGUAAGAGGUGUGCCAUAUUAAUUAAAUCUCUUAUGGCCCUCAUAUUAAUUUUAUAAUUUAGAUAUUAAAAAUAAGUUCCGUAGUUAAUUUAGGCGCAUUAAUUAAAUAAUGAUCAUGGCUACGGGUACAGUUCUCGUGACGUAGUUGUGAUUGUCAAUAACUAAAAUCUGAGUGUACAUUUAAUAUGACCCGAUUAUAAUCUCUAAUAAGGUUAAAUAGAACGUGUCGUGACUCACUGGUGUAUUUUAUGUAGCGUGACUUGUGAUGUGUUUUAAAUAACCUUGAAAUAAUUCC